GCCGAAAUAGCUCAGUUGGGAGAGCGUCAGACUGAAGAUUUAAAGGUUACUGGUUCAAUCCUGGGUUUCGGCA
rnacentral:tRNA from 1 species